GACGAACGCUGGCGGCGUGCCUAAUACAUGCAAGUAGAACGCUGAAGAGAGGAGCUUACUCUUCUUGGAUGAGUUGCGAACGGGUGAGUAACGCGUAGGUAACCUGCCUUGUAGCGGGGGAUAACUAUUGGAAACGAUAGCUAAUACCGCAUAACAAUGGAUGACACAUGUCAUUUAUUUGAAAGGGGCAAUUGCUCCACUACAAGAUGGACCUGCGUUGUAUUAGCUAGUAGGUGAGGUAAUGGCUCACCUAGGCGACGAUACAUAGCCGACCUGAGAGGGUGAUCGGCCACACUGGGACUGAGACACGGCCCAGACUCCUACGGGAGGCAGCAGUAGGGAAUCUUCGGCAAUGGGGGCAACCCUGACCGAGCAACGCCGCGGGAGUGAAGAAGGUUUUCGGAUCGUAAAGCUCUGUUGUAAGUCAAGAACGGGUGUGAGAGUGGAAAGUUCACACUGUGACGGUAGCUUACCAGAAAGGGACGGCUAACUACGUG
rnacentral:rRNA from 1 species